AAGUCAUAACAAGGUUUCCGUAGGUGAACCUGCGGAAGGAUCAUUAAUAGUGCUCUUUAUUGAGUUGAUCUGCUCUCUUCGCAAGAAGAGGGUUUCCAUACACACCGUGAACUGUGGCUUCGGCCAUCACAAACUGUUAGUAAUGAAUGUAAUAUCAUAACAAAAACAAAACUUUUAACAACGGAUCUCUUGGCUCUC
rnacentral:misc_RNA from 1 species